rnacentral:rRNA from 1 species
GACGAAGGGGGCUAGCGUUGUUCGGAAUUACUGGGCGUAAAGCGCGUGUAGGUGGUUGUCCAAGUUGGAUGUGAAAGCCUUGAGCUCAACUCAAGAAAUGCAUUCAGGACUGGGCGGCUAGAGGACCGGAGAGGAUAGUGGAAUUCCCAGUGUAGUGGUGAAAUACGUAGAGAUUGGGAAGAACACCGGUGGCGAAGGCGGCGACCUGGUCCUUUUACUGACGCUGAGGCGCGAAAGCGUGGGGAGCAAACAGG